GUGUGCAGGCAAAUCUAAUCAAGCAAUCAUUGGAGGCAGCCCUUAAAGGGGAGAGAAAUUUUGGGACCAGAAUCAGGGUUUGCAUCAAGGUCAGGGGAAGCAGGAUGUCCUCAGGAGCUUUUCAGUGGCGCUGCAGCAGCAGGUGCUAACAAGGCCCAACUGCAGUUACAGGAGGAGGAUGCUGUUGGUCAUACACUGGACAGAGCAUAAUAAACUCAUCAAGUCCAGAAAUUUUGCUGCAGAAACCCAUGUAAACGGGAUGUGACUGGGGAGGAGCCGUCGUGCACCAUGGCGUGCUGCCUCCUCUUCCUCAGCCUGGCCGUGCCCCGUCUGACCCUUGGUGCACGGGGCUGCACCAAGGAUUACCUGAGGCUUAACGUAACGUGAUAAAUCUCCCAGAGUUAAAAAGGUUGCUAUAAAGAGAAGACGAGGAGUGAUCUUCUGUGUACGCCAGGGAUCAGAUGAAAAAUAAUCGGCUUAAUGUGCAGCGGAGGAGACGUAAGUGAGAUACGAAGAGAAAUGUCCCAAGCGGGGAGGGUGCUUCGGCAGCGGAUCGGAAGACUCCAGGACAAAGAUCCCCAUGACCUCAUGGAGAUUCAGGAGCAAAGACCAGCCAAAUGCCAGUGAAUGGUGGCCUCGCUCCCCUUGCAGGUGUCUGGGCCAGGAGGCCUCCAGCUUUCCAUGCCAAGACCACUGGGGCAGGGCAGCCCCCCUGGAGAUGUGCCACCGGGACAGGAUGCCCUCGGAGAUGAGCAUCGCGACCUGUGCCGUGUUUAUUAUGGGCAAGGAUUUGCCUAACGGAGAAUUUAGAUUAAUAACGUUCAGCCUGGAGAAGUAAUUUCCUUUGAGAAAGCGAUUUACAUGCACUCUGCCAAAAAGAGCCGUCACCGCUCUCUCUUGUCGUGUCAGCUCAAAUAAUGAAGUUGAAAAUAACAUGGAAGGUUAAUAGGUCCUACUUAUCUCCUUAGAGCCGAGAAGGAAGAUUUACAGUGUGCAGUCUGUUUUGCAUAUUUCCAUUGGAAAUUGAAAGGUUUUUCCCAGACGAGAUUUAUGAGGACUCCCGGUUAAAGGGUGUCUGCUCUGUUACUGCUCCCCGCGGAGGCUGUAAACCUCUCCAUCCUGGGAGAUGUUUGCAAGCCUAAGAGGGAGCCACGUUUCCCUGGGUCGCUGACCAAGGACUUUUUUGGAUGCCAGAGCUCACGCAAUAAUUAUUUUUAACUGGCUACAUCUACCUUAAGCGCGGAAGUUCAUACGUUUGUGGCAGCUACACAGCGGUUAAAAAUGGCUUGAAGCGUCCAGGGUUUUCCCCUGGAGCUAUCUGUUGAAUACUAAUGAAAAGUAGAGGCUGCAAACUUGUCUUUGUCUUGAGAUGCAGUAAGAGCAGUGGCACGUGGCCGUAGGGGCUCUGCGGCUUGUGGGGCUGCCCCUGGGUCUGCUUUUAGUCCGCCACCCUCUGGGCUGUGGGAUCUGCCAAAAAGCGACAGGUUCUGACAUAAAUCAGAGUGUAUUUUGUUCUGUAUAAAUGCCUGGGGAAGACGAUCUACGUUAUGAUCUUUAGGACUGGGAGCUGCCAAACUGUACUCGUCUGUUAGCCGGAACGUGUUCCCUCGGUUAGAAACAGCAAUGACCUUGUCACAACUAGUGAGGACGCUGCUGUGUUAGCUUUCAGUAAUGCUGGAAAUAACUUCAGCCUCCCCUGUAAUUGCACCUUUUUUUUUUUUUCCCACUUUAAGAACAUGUCUGGCUUACGUAUGGAUGAUAAUAGCAUGCGCAGGAGGGGACGAUUCUCAGGCAUUAGAGCCCCAUCACUUCAAAUUACGUUUAUUAAAUUCCCCAAGGACUCACGGCACGGUAUGGACUGCUGCAGGAGUUAUGUCAUUUUUAAAUAGCAAAGCUAUCUAUAAGUUACAGCAAUAGGAAAAAAAAAAAAAAGGCUCUGAAAUUCUACUUUCCUCCUCUCGCUUAGCUUAAAAGGGCCAAGAAGCUGCUCCUUGGGCUGGAUGCUGGGGGUUCUGGUAAGUGGGCAGAUGCAAGCUGCAGUCGGCGAUCUCCCUCUCCCCGUGUCUCUGGUUCCCAAGUGUUCCCCAGAGCCCGGUUCAGACAGACAUGGAGCCGCAGCAGCUGUCCUCACUGCUCACUUAAAACACCUCGAGAGUCCCUGGCAAGCCUGGAGAGGAAGGGGAGGGCGGCUGCACCCCCCGGCAGCUGCCUUGGGGCUGGUUUGGUGCCGUGGGGGUGCUCGGGGCACCCAGCCCCAGGCAGAGCACAGCUCUCCCCAACCCCACUGCCGCUGUGCAGGGCAGAUCUGUGUGGACCACAGGUUUGUUCAGGCAUGUAGCCACCCCGAAAAUAGCUCUCCAGCUGUUAUUUCUUCCAUCAGAUUCACGUUUGAGCCCUCGGUAGGUUGUUGGGCUCCUCCGCACUGGCAGUGAAAUAAACUUGAAAGAAAUUAAAAAAAAUUAAAAAGAAAAAAAAAGAACAUUCCUUCUCGAUGAUUUAAAUUGCAUAGUGCAUUGAAGCCCACUUAAAAGAAUAACUCCAAAAGGGAAAGAAUUUUUAAUAAAUGUUCUGUCUAGCACAAACUGUAAAAUAUUCAUUUAAGUUGGUUAUUUCACAUUACUGAGUAAGUGCAAGAAGAAUGAAAUUUCUGAACAGCUUAAGGUACAGUUCAGUAAUAAAACGAGCCAUUUAAUGAAUGAAAUAUUUAAAAUAAUUUGCAUACAUUAAGUGAUGGAAUACAGCGUGUAACAAAUGUAACUGGAGUUGGAGAGUAGAGCUGAGAACUAAAUAGAAAUUCCUCAGUGUAAAUCUGACCGGGAGAAGCUUCCCUUCGCAGCAGGGGAACGAAGCAUGAGGCAGGCUGUGGUUUGCACCCACAGGCGCCAGGCUGUGCCCUGACAGCCCUGGGCACCCUGGAGGGCCGGCUGCAUUUGCUGUGGAAGGGUCCUGCAGGAGCAGAGGCUGCACCUUGCAGUCCUGUGCCCCUGAGCUGGGUCCCUGGAGCGAGCAUCGCACCCAGACCGCCCCGGCCAGCAAACAGAGGCCCUCCGAU